GCAGUCUUUGUCAAAGACCACCUCGGCAAGGAGGUGGAGAUAGGUGGCUGCAAGGGGCCAGUGACCACAUUUAUCGUGGAGCCAUUUGUCCCACACACGGAGGAGUACUACCUUAACAUUGUCUCAGAGCGGCUCGGUUGUAGUAUCAGCUUUUCUGAGUGCGGUGGGAUAGAGAUUGAGGAGAAUUGGGAUAAGGUGAAGACAAUCUUUAUUUCGGCCUCGGAGGUCUUAACGCCAGAGAUUUGUGCUCCCCUUCUCGCCACGCUUCCUUUGGAGAUUAAGGGCACGAUCGAGGAAUUUAUCAAGGCAGUUUUCAGUGUAUUCAUAGAUCUGGACUUCACAUUUCUUGAGAUGAAUCCCUUUACUCUGGUGGAGGGGAACCCUUAUCCUCUGGAUAUGAGAGGGGAGCUUGAUGAUACUGCUGCUUUCAAGAACUUCAAG
rnacentral:misc_RNA from 1 species